rnacentral:tRNA from 1 species
GGUAAGAUGGCUCAGAGGUUAAGAGCACUGGCUGCUCUUCCAGAGGUCCUGAGUUCAAUUCUCAGCAACCA